rnacentral:sRNA from 1 species
UAUUCUGCCCCAUGGGGAAGGAUGAGAAGCUUCGACUAAGGUUCGACUCGAGCGAAGCGAGAGAACGUUGCCGCAGGCAACGGCCCGAAGGGCGAGGCGCUUUA